CGUCUCUACCGGCAGUGCACGCAGGGCGCGGUUGUCAAAGCGCAGCCCCGCCAGCCAACGCGGCGUGGGCUCCAUGGCAGCAGCCCAGGCGGACCAGGGCGCGGACGACAGAAGCGCGAGACCGACACACCGUGGCCGGGUUCGGGCAACCGCGAGCGAGGCCCCGAACGCGGCCCUGAAAGAGGCCAUUCGCCGCGUCGCCGGAAGCCCGCUCGCCCCGACCGGAAGUUUAUCCACGCCCAAUUAUGGGCUGGUGGGAGGCACGCCCAGCAACUUGGUUCUGAUUGGUUGCCUCUCGUUUGUCCACUUCCGGGCGAGUGUUGCAGAGGGUGGACCUGAGACGCUCUUUAACUUCUGACACCUGUGCAGCAGGCUAGCCGAGUGCCAAAGCUCCCACCCAGGUGACAUACGCCAGACUGGACUACUCCAAGUAUGCCUACAGGCUGAGUGAUGUCCCUAAAAAACUACCAGGGUCCCCCAACUAGUGGUGAAGCCAAGGUCAUUCCCUGGGUACUGUGGGUUUGGCUGGUACUGUCUAUCACAUGCAUAGAAACAGAAAUGGAAUCUUUGACUGUUUUAUUGAGACAGCCAACAGAUGUGUCUUCCAUCUCAUCUUUAUCCAGCCGAUUAUAUAGGGAAUGAAUCCACGAGUGAGGACAGAAGUACACAGCCCAUCCAGCCCUGUAGCCCCUGCCCAGCUCAGUGUUUCACCUGAUUUGGCAGUCAACACAAGGACAAUCAAUGUGGUCUUGGUCUUGCCAGGCUGUGCAGUAUGCCAGGAGCCACAGCCUGUACACACAAAUGGCUGGGUGCACACAAAGCAACCAUGGCCCUAGUUCCGUGGCCCAUGGUAGAUGCCUACUGUCCUCAGUGCGGUUUGGGCAUCCCCAGCUAACACACAGUCAUCAGGCCCAGGCCCUGCCAGCACCAAGGGCAGCCUUGCAGGCUCAUAUCUGAGGCAGCCCCAAGCCACUCUAAGCUGUAGUGGAGUCUAGUAGAGGCUGGCCUGAACCCCCAAGCUGACUCUCUGACAUACACUGCCCACUCAGGGCACACAGACACAAAUAAAAAGAUGACUUCUUUGUCCUUACUGGA